rnacentral:rRNA from 1 species
CCCAGACUCCUACGGGAGGCAGCAGUGAGGAAUAUUGGUCAAUGGACGAGAGUCUGAACCAGCCAAGUAGCGUGAAGGAUGACUGCCCUAUGGGUUGUAAACUUCUUUUAUAAAGGAAUAAAACGAGGCACGUGUGCCUUUUUGCAUGUACUUUAUGAAUAAGGAUCGGCUAACUCUGUGCCAGCAGCCGCGGUAAUACGGAGGAUCCGAGCGUUAUCUGGAUUUAUUGGGUUUAAAGGGAGCGUAGAUGGGUUGUUAAGUCAGUUGUGAAAGUUUGCGGCUCAACCGUAAAAUUGCAAUUGAUACUGGCAGUCUUGAGUACAGUUGAGGUAGGCGGAAUUCGUGGUGUAGCGGUGAAAUGCUUAGAUAUCACGAAGAACCCCGAUUGCGAAGGCAGCAUACCGGCUCCACACUGACGCUGAGGCACGAAAGCGUGGGUAUCGAACAGGAUUAGAUACCCCGGUAGA